rnacentral:rRNA from 1 species
CCUACGGGCGGCAGCAGUGGGGGAUAUUGCACAAUGGGGGGAACCCUGAUGCAGCGACGCCGCGUGAGCGAAGAAGUACCUCGGUAUGUAAAGCUCUAUCAGCAGGGAAGAAAAUGACGGUACCUGACUAAGAAGCCCCGGCUAUAUUCGUGCCAGCAGCCGCGGUAAUACGGAGGGGGCCAGCGUUAUCCGGAUUUACUGGGUGUAAAGGGAGCGCAGGCGGCCUGCCAAGUCAGGUGUGAAAGCCCGGGGCCCAACCCCGGGCGUGCAUUUGAAACUGGCGGGCUGGAGUGUCGGUGGGGCAGGCGGAAGUCGUGGUGUAGCGGUGAAAGGCGUAGAUAUUAGGAGGAACACCGGUGGCGAAGGCGGCCUGCUGGACGAUGACUGACGCUGAGGCUCGAAAGCGUGGGGAGCAAACAGGAUUAGAUACCCGAGUAGUC